UUAUAAGCAAAUUCGACUUUUUAGGUUCAUUCAAUUAAUGAUGUAUGUGGUCCAUAAUAUGAACCAAAUACAUUCUUAAUUGAAUGAACCUAAAAAGUCAAAUUUGCUUGUAA
rfam:Medicago truncatula strain A17 chromosome 7, whole genome shotgun sequence.